GUGGAUGAUUUCGCUCGGUGCUGUAUGUCGAGCGAAUGGAUUAAUGAGCUUGCUCUUAUGAAGUUAGCGGCGGACGGGUGAGUAACACGUGGGUAACCUGCCCAUAAGACUGGGAUAACUCCGGGAAACCGGGGCUAAUACCGGAUAAUAUUUUGAACUGCAUGGUUCGAAAUUGAAAGGCGGCUUCGGCUGUCACUUAUGGAUGGACCCGCGUCGCAUUAGCUAGUUGGUGAGGUAACGGCUCACCAAGGCAACGAUGCGUAGCCGACCUGAGAGGGUGAUCGGCCACACUGGGACUGAGACACGGCCCAGACUCCUACGGGAGGCAGCAGUAGGGAAUCUUCCGCAAUGGACGAAAGUCUGACGGAGCAACGCCGCGUGAGUGAUGAAGGCUUUCGCGUCGUACAACUCUGUUGUUAGGGAAGAACAAGUGCUACUUGAAUAAGCUGGCACCUUGACGGUACCUCACCUGAAAGCCACUGCUAACUACAUGCCAGCAGCCGCGGUAAUACUUAGGUGUGCAUGCGAUAUCCGCAAUUAUUGCGCGUACAGCGCGCGCACGCUGGUUUCUCAUGUCUGAUGUCGAGACCUCCCACGGCCUCAUCCGCGGAGGGGUCAUUCGUAAACGCGGGUAGACUUCGAGUACUAGAGGAGCGAAAGUCGCACUUCCAUGUGUAGCCGUAGACAUUGCGUAGAGAUGAUCGACGGAGCACCUCUGAGUCGAGUCUGACUUCCUAGCUGUCACCUGCAACACUGAGCAGUCGAAGCCUGAGAGCCAACUGCACUCAGAGGCCUCGUCAGUCAUCGCUGCAAUGUAGCGGUCAUGUUAAUGGCGCUCGCCCCUCAGGCUGAGGUCACGAUCCAGCAUCCCCCAGGUACGGCUGCAGUCGACUCGAUGAUGACCGGUCGCAAUCGUGACUGCGUAAGUCCUAGACACCCUGA
rnacentral:rRNA from 1 species